AACCAGGCACACUCCGGGGGCGUCCUCUUCCAACGCUGCCCCACCUGCUGCUGAAUGGAGCUUGGAGAGUUUCCUCCAACACCAUCUGGCUAAGUUCAGUGGGAAAGGCCUCCCUGACGAAGCGGAUCAGUGGUUAAGGGACAUGGAGAAGAUCUUCAACGCCAAGAGGUGUCCAGAUGAGAAUCGGUUGGCGUUCACUGAAUAUUUGUUAACUGGGGAAGCAAGCCACUGGUGGGCGAGCACACGGGCUAUUCUGGCAGACGCCCAACGUCCGAUCACUUGGGAAGUGUUCCGUGGCAAGUUUUACGAGGAGUACUUCCCUGACAGCGUCCGUUUUGCGAAGGAAGUGGAGUUUCUAUAGCUGGUUCAAGGUGGGAUGUCGGUUUCUGAGUAUACCAAUAAGUUCAAACACCUUGUUCGGUUCAAUAAGAUGGCCUACGUUGAGGAGUGGCAGUACAGGAAGUUUGAGAAUGGAAUGCGAAGUGAAAUACGAUUGAAAUCCUAACCUCCACUGCAAACGCCUUUUUCGUGUUUCCCUCUCCUCGAACCCUAGCCGCUACCACGUGCUCCAUUACAAGGUUGAGGGGACUGGAGACCGCUCCACCAGUCAUGCCUCCUCGUUGGCUCUCCCCUUGGAACCCUAACUCAUUCUUAGACUCACGUGGAGACGACUGGAAUGGUAGCGUCGAAGUCUCGUGCUUACUGACUAAAGCUUUCUCACUCACACUCUCUCACGGUCACUGGUAGAGAAGAAGAAUGUCCCACACUAACUGUUCUUCUCGCUCACGCUCACUCAAAGAGAAGAAGUUCGUCCAUUCUUCUCGUGUUCACUCACCUUGUUGGACAUCAUGCUCACUUGGGAGAGUUAUUCGUUCAAUCGAAUGGUCCGUUGUGGGGUUUGCGCAAAGAUUCACCGAAUAUAUUCGUUUGUUCUUGAAUAUGUAGUUGAUUUUGAUGAAUAAAGCUUCUGAAAUGUGAAAGACGGUGAUGGACUUAUUCCUAGGCCAAACCAUGGAAGUGAGAGUGCAAAAGAAGAAGAGAGAGACCGGAGAGUGGGUCGCCGUUGAUGCCAAGACCAAACCCCUCUUGGAGCUCCAGACGAGGUGAAGUUUGCCUUAGACAUUGUGGUCCUGUAUUGUAGCUUUACAACAGUUUGCUUCCCUACUUAUCCUAUAUUAGGUUCCUCCCUCUACAUAGUUCAUUGGUCUAUCAUGAUCCCAUUUCAAUUUAAUUGGCCAUGGAGCUUUCUCAUUCUAGUGUCUUCUAAUUCUUAGUUCUGGUGCAAGUGUCUGGUUUGAAGUCCAUCACAUCUAAACACCUGGCAUUGGUAAGUCAAGUAAUUAGUUUCGUACAUGUUAUUAUUCCUGGUUCAAACUUACUCACCUAAAUGAAGUUUUUAAUGCGUUUUCUCUGGGAUGUAUUGAGUUCUCUUAGGAGAAACCAACUAAUGAGCAAAAGAAGUUUAGCCAUGUUACUCCAUUAAUUUUAGCAUUAGCGGAUGAAGUGUCAACCCGUGGUUAUCUUUCUUUAGAAGUCAUUGAGCAGGUUGAAGGUGAGGUCCAGCGAUUAAAUGUUGUCAAAGCCAGUAAGAUGAAACAUUUGAUGUUUAAGAGGCAGAAUGAGCUUAAAGAAUUUUACAGAGGAGUUCACAUGGUUUGAAGGAAUUACAGAGUUUCCUUGAUAACUUGGUCUCUUUUUGAUGCAGAUUCAUCACGAGGCGCGUCACCCUAAGAUCCCCUCUGAGGAGGACAAGGUCGUCAACCUUCACGCCAUAAUCGCCAGCGAAUCGUCGAAGCCGCGUCCAAGCAUUCGCGGAAGCCACAAGAAAUGCUUAGAUUUUGGAAACGAGAUACUCUUUGCAUUUUUAACUUAGUCGUAUUUUUGGGAAGACUUAAGCUCUAACCAUGUCAUCUUCAAAUGACCACUAACCAGAAUGUUUUGGAUGUGGGGACUAGAAGUGGCAUUCUUGCUAUAUGGUCAGCUCAAGCAGGCGUGAGGAAGGUGUAUGCAGUGGAAGCGACGAAGAUGUCAGAACAUGCUCGUGCACUAGUCAAAGCGAAUAAUCUCCAGAAUGUAGUUGAGGUCAUCGAGGGAUCAAUGGAGGAUGUUACCUUGCUUUAGAAAGGAUUUGUGGUGGAAGAAAACAUGCUCGUGACCCUGGCUCAAACUGACAGGAGUGAUGUGCUUGCAUUAAAGUAUUUGCAUUCCCUGCAUGGGUUGAAAUAGACACGUGUAAAGCUUGAUCUUGAUGCAAAGAUGGUAUUGAUUGAGGAGAAAUAGGUCCAGGGACUAAAUAGGAAGUUGAAGUACGGGCUUGCUUUGUACAUGCGGUGGAGAAAAUGCAAGAGCUAAUAAGUAAAAGUCAGGAAGACAGGUUAUUAAGGAAACAAUUGAUUCCAAUAUUACAAUAGAAUACAAGUCAAACACAGUUGAUGAUUUACAUAUGAGGAAGCCAGAUAUUAGCAAAGCGAAGGAACUGCUGAUUUGGGAACACAAAAUCCCACUUAAUGAUGAAAUUGGAUUCUGAAUAAAGAUGAAGGUAAAGGGAUGAAAAUUUCCUUUAGGAAGGAGAUUUAUUCUAAUCUUCCAUUUCAGGCUAUGAAGGAAGUUAAUUAGCUUUUAGAAAUGUUACCUUUAGAAGUUUAAUUGUAUAUUGAUUUACAAUAUGAAAAUCAAAGUUAAUUAGCUUUUAAAAAUGUUACCUUUAGCAGUUUAAUUGUAUAUUGAUUUACAAUGUGAAAAUCAACUAAGAUACACGUGAUUGUUAAUUUA